rnacentral:ncRNA from 2 species
GAAAAUUUAAUUACAGAAGGUGCCUGCAGGACUGCAGGAUAAUAGGGAAAUGAGUGAGAAUCUCAUACGGUCCCGCCACUGUAAAAGUGGAGUUUUCUUUCGCAGACAGCGUAUGGUUCAGAUGCAUUGUCAGAUACCACUGGGAAACCGGGAAGGUGGAAGAAAAUGAAGAAGCUUGAGUCAGAAGACCUGCCUUUUGUAAAGGAAUGCA